GAUUCAGCGGCGGACGGGUGAGUAAUGCCUAGGAAUCUGCCUGGUAGUGGGGGACAACGUUUCGAAAGGAACGCUAAUACCGCAUACGUCCUACGGGAGAAAGCAGGGGACCUUCGGGCCUUGCGCUAUCAGAUGAGCCUAGGUCGGAUUAGCUAGUUGGUGGGGUAAUGGCUCACCAAGGCGACGAUCCGUAACUGGUCUGAGAGGAUGAUCAGUCACACUGGAACUGAGACACGGUCCAGACUCCUACGGGAGGCAGCAGUGGGGAAUAUUGGACAAUGGGCGAAAGCCUGAUCCAGCCAUGCCGCGUGUGUGAAGAAGGUCUUCGGAUUGUAAAGCACUUUAAGUUGGGAGGAAGGGCAGUAAAUUAAUACUUUGCUGUUUUGACGUUACCGACAGAAUAAGCACCGGCUAACUCUGUGCCAGCAGCCGCGGUAAUACAGAGGGUGCAAGCGUUAAUCGGAAUUACUGGGCGUAAAGCGCGCGUAGGUGGUUCGUUAAGUUGGAUGUGAAAUCCCCGGGCUCAACCUGGGAACUGCAUCCAAAACUGGCGAGCUAGAGUACGGUAGAGGGUGGUGGAAUUUCCUGUGUAGCGGUGAAAUGCGUAGAUAUAGGAAGGAACACC
rnacentral:rRNA from 1 species